rnacentral:rRNA from 1 species
CGUAAUAGCUCACUGGUCGAGUCGGCCUGCGCGGAAGAUGUAACGGGGCUAAACCAUGUACCGAAGCUGCGGCAGCGACGCUUAUGCGUUGUUGGGUAGGGGAGCGUUCUGUAAGCCUGCGAAGGUGGCCUGUGAGGGUUGCUGGAGGUAUCAGAAGUGCGAAUGCUGACAUAAGUAACGAUAAAGCGGGUGAAAAGCCCGCUCGCCGGAAGACCAAGGGUUCCUGUCCAACGUUAAUCGGGGCAGGGUGAGUCGACCCCUAAGGC